CUCGCAGCCGGUGCUCGCACGCCGGGGGCGCUCGCUGGGCGCGGAGGACCCGGGGGACCGGGCCCGAGAGCUGCAAACUUUGCGCGGGUCUCGCCCGCAGAGGUAGCCGCUCCGCCCCAGGCCGCAGUCCGGGCGCCGCAGCGGGCCGGGCUCCGGGCGGCUCCGGCGGCGCCGAGGGCGGGGUCUCCGGCCGGCGGAGCCCCGGGCAGCGCGCAGCUCUGUUUACCGCGGGCCCGCCCUCCUCCCAGCCCGCGCCCUGCGCGCUCCUGACAUCAUUCAUUCUCGCACUCUCGCCAGCCUUCUCCUGCUCCCAGCCGUGACUCACCCCGGGCCCGAGGCUCCUGCGGGCUCCCACGACUCCAGCGACCGAGUCUCUCCGGACGCCUAACCGAGCUCGAAAAACCGGUGAAUUGCGUCUUCACAAGGAUGAGAAACCGGAACCAGAAUGACCAUUCAAAGAGUGACUGUCUACUUAAAUGAACCUGUGCUUUUCUGUUGCCUUGGGGGCACAAGUGUCCAUAUGUGCGCCCCCCCCCGGGGGGGGAUGACCUCACCAAUUAGAUAGAAGGAAGGGUUGUCUCUGCCUAAAAAUGGCCAAGGCUCGGCAUUUCCUAGAAGUUGUUUCCACACCUUGUGGUAGUUUUUAGUCAACCAUGGCCCUCUUGGAGGGAGUAACUAGGCAUCCGGGCAACUGGCUAAACCUCCAGUGAAUUUAAUUGAUAGAAAUGUUUUUUAUGUCAUUGCGUACUUCCCUUUCUGGUUUAGGUUCGCACGUGUAGGAUUGUACAGACUGUCCUAUGGGGAUUAACAUGAUCCACAAUAGCAACAACAACAAUAAUAACAACACCAACAAUAAUAAGCAUUUCUGGCGUUCCGUGUGGGUAUUUUUUAUGACAAUAAUCAUUAAACCCAAUGGCAGCAAAAUAGAACCCCGAGGGAGGUGCGAGGCUGGCAGGUCAGAGAUGAUGUCCAAACACUGACGUUUAAGUGAACCUCUCCUGCGAUUACCACAGGUUAGACUUCAUUGUGGGGGAGUGCACUUGUCUCUGAGCCACAGAAAGGUUGGGAUCCAGAAAAAGAGCGUCAACACUGAGAUUUCUUUUCCUUGGGUUUAUUUUUCCUUUGCAGUAAGGAGUCCCUUUUUACAUUUACAAAACCUAGGCAUUGUGCCCAGAAGGCAAUAGAAAUGGAUUGGUUUCCUAGCAUGCUGACCGAGUAAAUGGAAAUUUGAACCAACAUCCCCCCCCCCACGCCAGACAACCACAGAUGUAAUUCAGAAGUUUAGUGUCUGAUCCAUGGGUGACAGAGAGGGUCAAGAGUCUAUGUGAACCUGGGUGAACAACCCGCCUACCUCCUACUUUAUAAUUCAAAUAUUUGUACAUUAGGAAGAUAGGUAUAAGACCUGAGAUAAACGGAAAUUGUAGGGUUUUUGAACUGUGUACAUGGGUGAAGUUUUAAGAGCCCCAAAGCCCUCAGCCCUGGGCAUACUGUUGCAGGAUGAUUGCUUCAGAUUCUCCAUGGCCUCCGUGCCACAGGCUGUUUGAUGGAGCUUGGAACAUGUGGUCCUAUUGUGCUUUCAGUGGCCUAUUCUGUCAUGCCAUUUACAGAAAAAUAAAGUGGGGUGUGUUGAAGCACUCCCUUAAUUCUGGCUUUCGGGAGCCAGAGUCAGGAGUAUCAGGAGUUCAAGAUUGACUUCUUCCAUAUAGGGACCUCAGGUCAAUCUGUGCUACAUUAGACCCUGACUUCAAAACAAGCAAAAUACAAACGAGUAAGAGUGUGUUUAUGAAUGAGCUUGGUGUAGUUUUUCUGUGCUGCUCACUGACUUUUAAAACUCCAGAUUAUGGGGUUGGAGAGAGUACUGGCUCUUCUAGGGAAUAGGGGUGGGUUUCAAUUCCCAGCACUUGCAUGGCAGCUUACAACUGUCUUGUCAUUCUUGUCCCAGGGGACCCAAUGCCCUCCUCUGGCUUCUAUGGGCCCUGCAUACACAGGAUGCAUGAUAUGCAUGCAAGUAAAAAUGGACAUAAAAUAAAAAUGUAAAAAGAAAGCAGAUUAUUUUUCUUAAUGCCUAUGUUCUGACAGUUACUUUUCACUGAAAGAGGUUUCUUUUUCUUUCAACCUACCAAAGUUUACGGAAUCCAUGGUUCGACAUCUUUUAAAAUGUUGUUUGUUUGGGCUGGGCAGAUGGCUCCGAGGUUAAGAGCGCUUGGUUGCUUUUACAGAAGACCCAGGUUCAAUUUCUAGCACCUGUAUGGUGGCUCAACUACCAUCUGUUACUCCAGUUCCAGGGAACCGACUCCCUUUUCUGGCCAGCACAGGCACCAGGCAAAACACCUACACACAUAAAAUCAAAAGAAAUCUUAAAAAAAAAAAAUAAUGUCGGUGACCUUUCUAAAGGAGAGAAAGGAGUUGGAAAUAAAGCUCGUGGUAAAGUUUGGCUAGAUUUGUGAGUUGGAUCCCUAGUGUAGGGAAAUGAACAACUCAAUUGGCUUCUCUGAGAGGAAAGGGUGGUAGGAGGACUGGGUGUGGUGCUACAUAGCUGUAAUCUGAGCCCUGAGUAGGAUUGCUGAGAGGAUCAAGCAUUAGAGUCAGCCUGGGCUACAUAGUGAGACCUAUCUGGAAAGGUGUUGUGAAGAGAGGACAGCUUGCAGGUAAACAGGUUCAUGUCAGUUCCUUUUCUAAGACAGAGC
ensembl:lncRNA